UUCGACGGCUCCGGAAGGUACUCAGUUACUGCCCGUGCAACUAGUUCCGAACUAACGCGCUUGGAGUACAUCAGUCGGAACUCUUCCACUCUCCCAUUCUCAAGUGCUAAAGAAUAUCAACUUGGGUCAGCGGAAUACACGACGCCGAAUCCACGACGCAGUGCUCGGUCGCGUCGUUCUGCUCCAUUAUUACAAGUCGAAAGGUUUGCGGUCGGAGGCAGCUUUCAAGUAACUACUGAACUGAACGAAAUGAGCGUCCCACCAGGAAACAUACGCGAUCUUCGUGUGAUUGACAGUUCACGUUUGUGCAACGGAACGCUGAGUGUUCGUCUCUCAUGGACGUGGCCUGGUGGCCAUCUGGACACAGGCACAGUCGAAUCGGUCCAGCUGCGUACGAGUGCCAGCUACACAAGCUUGUUAAAUGCAUUUGAAGACCAAAACCUCCUAACCGAAGCAAACGUGCUUCACGGGGAUUUAUUACCAAGACCGCCGAGAACAUCAC
rnacentral:lncRNA from 1 species